UACGUAGGGUGCAGGCGUUAAUCGGAAUUACUGGGCGUAAAGCGUGCGCAGGCGGUUGUGCAAGACCGAUGUGAAAUCCCCGGGCUUAACCUGGGAAUGGCAUUGGUGACUGCACGGCUAGAGUGUGUCAGAGGGGGGUAGAAUUCCACGUGUAGCAGUGAAAUGCGUAGAGAUGUGGAGGAAUACCGAUGGCGAAGGCAGCCCCCUGGGUCGACACUGACGCUCAUGCACGAAAGCGUGGGGAGCAAACAGG
rnacentral:rRNA from 1 species